rnacentral:rRNA from 1 species
UGAGGAAUCUUGCGCAAUGGGGGAAACCCUGACGCAGCAACGCCGCGUGAGUGAGGAAGGUAUUCGGGUCGUAAAGCUCUGUCAGGCGGGAAGAAAUGGAUGGAGGUGAACAGCCGCCAUGCUUGACGGUACCGCCAGAGGAAGCACCGGCUAACUCCGUGCCAGCAGCCGCGGUAAUACGGGGGGUGCAAGCGUUGUUCGGAAUCAUUGGGCGUAAAGAGCGUGUAGGCGGCUUGGUAAGUCAGAUGUGAAAGCCCUGGGCUCAACCCGGGAAGUUCAUUUGAAACUGCCAGGCUCGAGUAGGGGAGAGGGAAGUGGAAUUCCUGGUGUAGAGGUGAAAUUCGUAGAUAUCAGUAGGAACACCGGUGGCGAAGGCGACUUCCUGGCCCUAUACUGUCGCUGAGACGCGAGAGCGUGGGUAGCAAACAG